GACGUAGGGCGCGAGCGUUGUCCGGAUUUAUUGGGCGUAAAGAGCUCGUAGGCGGCUUGUCGCGUCGUCCGUGAAAACCUGCAGCUCAACUGCAGGCUUGCGGUCGAUACGGGCGAGGCGUCGAGUUCGGUAGGGGAGACUGGAAUUCCUGGUGUAGCGGUGAAAUGCGCAGAUAUCAGGAGGAACACCGGUGGCGAAGGCGGUUCUCUGGGAAUGACCUGACG
rnacentral:rRNA from 1 species